ensembl:processed_transcript
GAGACGCGCCUGGGCAGCUGAUUCUGCCUCCCGUGACUGUCUCUAUUGUAGUCUACUUCACAGGCCAAUACCUCUCAUAACUAUCAUGGGCAGAUGUUGUACGGAUAUCUGGAUUAUAUUGGAGAAUAAACCCCGAAUUCUGUGAAGACGCAUGAAAUAAAAUAGUCAUGGAUUUCCCGGGGCACUUUGAGCAGAUUUUCCAGCAGCUGAACUUCCAGCGGCUGCAUGGACAGCUGUGUGACUGCGUGAUCAUGGUUGGCAGCCGUCAUUUCAAGGCCCACCGCGCUGUGCUGUCUGCCUGCAGUACGCAUUUCCGAGCCCUGUUUACUGCGGCUGAGGGAGAUGCCAGCACAAGAAUGAUCCACCUGGACUCUGAG